rfam:Schistosoma curassoni strain Dakar, Senegal genome assembly, scaffold: SCTD_scaffold0009079
AUCCAACUGACGAGUCCUCAGUAGGACGAAACGCGCGUCCUGCAU